rnacentral:rRNA from 1 species
GACGAACGCCGGCGGCGUGCUUAACACAUGCAAGUCGAACGAAGGGCGACGGACGCUUGCUUCUAUCAAUCUUAGUGGCGACCGGGUGAGUAACGCGUAAUCAACCUGCCCUUCAGAGGGGGACAACAGUUGGAAACGACUGCUAAUACCGCAUACGAUCUAACCUCGGCAUCGAGGAUAGAUGAAAGGUGGCCUCUACAUGUAAGCUAUCACUGAAGGAGGGGAUUGCGUCUGAUUAGCUAGUUGGAGGGGUAACGGCCCACCAAGGCGAUGAUCAGUAGCCGGUCAGAGAGGAUGAACGGCCAAAUUGGGAAUGAGACACGGCCCAGAAUCCUACGGGAGGCAGCAGUGGGGAAUCUUCCGCAAUGGACGAAAGUCUGACGGAGCAACGCCGCGUGAGUGAUGACGGCCUUCGGGUUGUAAAGCUCUGUUAAUCGGGACGAAAGGCCUUCUUGCGAAUAGUGAGAAGGAUUGACGGUACCGGAAGAGAAAGCCACGGCCAACUACGUG